rnacentral:rRNA from 1 species
UACGUAGGGGGCAAGCGUUGUCCGGAUUUAUUGGGCGUAAAGAGCGUGUAGGCGGUUUGGUAGGUCCGCUGUGAAAACUCGAGGCUCAACCUCGAGACGCCGGUGGAAACCAUCAGGCUAGAGUCCGGAAGAGGAGAGUGGAAUUCCUGGUGUAGCGGUGGAAUGCGCAGAUAUCAGGAAGAACACCCGUGGCGAAGGCGGCUCUCUGGAACGCAACUGACGCUGAGACGCGAAAGCGUGGGGAGCAAACAGG